rnacentral:lncRNA from 1 species
CUUCAUUUUUCUUUUUUAUCUGAAUAUAGUUCACCUCCCUCUACUCCUCCCAUUUGCUCCUCACCUCCUCUUCCAACUAGAUCUGCUCAGUUUUAUUUUCAUAUAUUGACAACAUUCAGUUAUUGGAAAGCAGGCUCCUUAAAAAUACAAAAAUCAUUGAAGUUUUAAUGAGGUCAAGCAAACCUGAUGCAACAUUAAUUCUAUUGAAUUAAGGUUUUCCUUAUUCAUUCAAAGUGAAAGAAUAUACAGGUUAUCUGUGACAGUAUAAAAUAAUGGUUCUGGGGCUACAGAGAUUGUUCAGUAAAGAGAACUUGUUGCUCUCGUGGAAGGCCCAAGUUUGGUUCCCACCAUCCACAUGGCAUCUCACAACCAUUUGUAAUCACUGCAACACGAGUUCUAAUUGGUCUUAAUAAUAAAAGCCUGGAAUUAGUUAUUAUCGGGUAAAGCUGAAAGAUCAGAGAAACAGAGCAGCCAGCCACUAGAGCUCUUACCUCUACAAAAUCCUCAUACUGAAAAGAGAUUGAUCUUCUGACUCAUUCCUCCUACAUUCCUCUCUCCACUCAGCCAUCUCACUUCCUGUCUGUCUUACAGACCUCCAGACCUCUAUGGUUAGCUAGUGGCUAGUUCAGCCCUCUGAUCUUCAGGCAAGCUUUAUUUGUUAGAGUAUAAACAAGAUAUCACCACAAAUUACAAUUUGUAUGUACAAGUGGUAUACAUAUAUAUAUGCAGGCAAAGUAUCCAUACACAUAAAAUAAACAUUUAAUAAAUAAAAUAAUCUACAAAUUCCAAGUUUUUAAAAAAAUGAUUUUCAUAUUUUUCUAAAAAGAAUAAUGAAAAUUAUAAAGUAAGUGUUUGGAAGUAUCAUAAUACUUUAUCAAUAAUCAGUUGGGGUGAGAAUACUUGCAAAUGUUUUAUAUUUGUUAUCUUUUAAUUAUGCAUUCACCAAGGAACAACUCAAUAGUAUGAUUUUCCAAUAUUAAUGUCUUGCUCAUAAAUUUAAGGAAUAUAGAUAUGCCUAAUUAUGUGUAAAAUACAGUCAUUAGUAGAAAUAAAUAUUAUGAAAGGACAAUUCUUGUUAGUGGUUGAAUGCAAUUCAAAACAGAAAACAAUAAAGAGAAAACACACACACACACGUCACAUUUACUUUACCCAUUCUUCACUUCAAAGACAUUUAGGCUAUUUCUAUUUCCUAGCUAUUGUGACUGCAGCACCCAUACACAUCACAUAGCUGAGGAAAUGUCUGUGGAGUAGGAUACCGAUCUUUGGACAUCCACCAAGGAGUAGCAUAGCUAUGUCAUAUGGUACACAUAUCUAUCUAUCUAUCUAUCUAUCUAUCUAUCUAUCUAUCUAUCUAUCCAUCCAUCUAUCCACCUACCUAUCAUCUAUCUAUCGAUCUAUCUAUUUUAGUUUUGAGUUUUUAUUUUUUGCUAUACUGAUUUCCAGAGUGGCUGGACCAGUUUGCAAUCCCACCAACAGUGAAUGAGGGUUCCCUUUCCCCACAGUAAAUAUAUAUUUUAAUAUUUUUUAUUUUAAUAGUUUAUACAAUACUGUUGCAUCAUUCAUUUACUUUAAUUAACCAUGCAUAGACAUAUUUGGCCAACAAGAAAAGAAGAAAAAACAAAAUAAAUGUGUGCUCUGAAAUGCACUUGAGCUGUGAAUCUGUUGCUCCUCUUAGCUCCUUUUCGUGUCUGGUCAUCAG